UAUACAGAAAUAGAGAAAGGUAAAAGCCUAGAGGCAAAAGAUAGAUGAUAGGGAAUAUCCUUCUGUGUGCUAUAAACAUAUGCUUUUCUUUGGUUGAUGAAUAAAGCUGUUUUGGCCAACAGACUGGCAGGAUGUAGCCAGACAGUAAGUAUAGGCAGAGCUAUCAGACUAGGAGACUUCUGCGAAGAGGAACAUGGAGAGUGAGUUGUUCAUGUAGCUACCAAAGAAGAAAGAGACCUAGCCAUUACAGGUAUCACAGUAGGAACAAUUUGUUAAUAAGGACCAUCUGUCAAACAAUGUGCUAACACUUGCUUGCUCAUCUACAAGGAGACAUUCAGGAAAGGGUGAACAGCCCUGCAGACUGUAGUGAGAGAUCCUGUGGUUGCCGCUUCAGAAGAAUUUAGGAAUAUAGUAAAGAAGAAGCAAUAAGCUGGACAAGCUCAUGCAUGUCUGUAAUCUAAGUACUUGGGAGGCUGAGGCAGCAAAACCACUCAGUAUGAAGUCAGCCUGGGUUACAUAGUGAUUUCAAGGCCAGCCUGGGUUACUCAACCAAAUACUGUCUCAACAAAAUUAAGUUAAAGAUUAAACCAUAAAAUUAUUAUAACCCGAGACAUGCGCCAA